rnacentral:lncRNA from 1 species
UGAGGAAGUGAAGGAGUGUGUUGGGAAUAGCGGGAAGAAAGGUAUGUUUUCAUGGGGGUUUUUUUGAGCUGCCUUUGGAGUAAUUUUGUUCUGUAAGAACCCUCUCCUCAUGGACUGUGGGGAAGCCAUAAAAUCUUUGAGAGUCCUUGUCAUACUGCCUUAUUAGAAGACCCAAUGAGGAUGAAAGCAGUUCUGAUGCUGACUGUAAAUUUGCUUUCAUAGGCAUGACUGAACCUGCAGACAGAUAUCUGCCACUCAAGCUAAUGAAGUAGGUUUGGUAGAAAACCAGCGAGUUGCCUUCCUCUGUACAGACUGUACAGACUUAGUUUUUGAGGGAGAAGGUCUUGGCGCAACUGAAAGGACGUGUCAUCAUUCUCCUUGCCAGCAGCCCAGGGAAAAGAUUUACAAGAAAAAGAAACCAGGUAUCUACAAGUGCAAUAUGUUACAGACAGUAAUAACCUUCAAAGGAAAAGCAAGGAAUAAGACUGCUUUAAAGGAAAUGAUCCUCUGCAAUUUCUUCUACAUUUCUUUUUAA